UGAAGGGCUUUUGCCUAGUUUAUUCCCCUAUCCAUACGGGGGAAGGGCAACGAACAGUUGCCUGAGGAUUGGUUAAAAAAUUCCCCCUCAUUGUAUAUAGAAACGUAAAAUAGAAAUAGAAGAACAUGUGUUAUCGAGUUUAGGUCUUAGCGCUGAAAAAAAAAAUAAUAUUUUAAUAUCCAUUAGUGGUUUGGUAUAAGUAUUUAGUAAUAGUCUUUAAUAUUAGUAUGUAUUUUCAAACGAAAAAGACGUGAUCGUUGCCGAGGACAUCAACACGAAGUCAAAGUUGUGGGGUUCCCCCAUAAAUGAUAAAAAGGGGGAACUCUGGAA